GUGCCGUGCAGCGACGGUCGGCAGGCGAUCCGCGUCGGUCGGGUUGGGUGGUAUGGUUCCCCAGAGACCGGUUCUUGUGCUGCGUACCCCCUCAAGGGAAGCAGGCCACUUGAUGUAAAGCCUCCAUCCUGCGCCUCCCAAUGGGCGCAGGAGGACAACGGAGCACCCCCCGCGUUCCACCGAGCCUUCGUCGGUCGUGUGGCCCGCGGGGACGUGCGAUGCUCUCGGACCCAGCGAACGCCGUGGGCGAGGACUCACGUCCCAGUCCCAAGAGAAGCUUCGGUAUAACGCUGACGGCCGCUCCCGCCCCCCACCGCCCCGGCGGCGCGGGUGCGAGGCGCGGCGUCGCGGAGGAAUGCUACCU
rnacentral:misc_RNA from 1 species